CCAGUAUAUGAACUGUUACCGUAUGUGUAAAUAGUAGGAACAUAUAUAUACAACUCGUCUAAACAUCAACCCAAUAAUGUUAGAUCUGUAAAUUUGCUUUUGCAAAAUUAUUGUUUCCCCUCGCCAGGAUUCGAACCCAUGCUGCUGAGAUAUCGUGACACCAACAUCGCCAGCACCGCAGCCGUCCGCUAGACACACGACCACUGGGCUUCACAAUAAUAAAGCUUUCGGUGGCAUGUGUUACCUUUCCUCGUCAGUUUUAAUCUAGCGUCGUACUACAGUACAUGAUAUAUAAGGCAUGGAGAUGCUAUUGUUACAGACCAGCUCAAUUAUCUAUAGUAAAGGAUCCUACACAUUAAUGCAAGAUACAGUCACAGAAAAUAAUUAUAUUUGCUGGUGAUCCGAUGGAUAAAUCUGUUGUAGAGUUGUCACUGACUCAGACGUACUUAUAUAUAUAAAUAUACUCGAAUCCCCAUAUGGAAUUCACUGACCCCAUAUAUACCGUAUUAGGUCACUAGCACACUAUGUAACUAAUAAUAUUGAUGUAGAUAUUUACUGUUCCUAAUGUAAAUAAAUGUAUAUUUAAAACGGCAA
rnacentral:lncRNA from 1 species